rnacentral:tRNA from 1 species
GCCCUGGUGGCCAGUGGUUAAAGCGUUUGGCUGCUAACCAAAAAGUCGGAAGUUCGAACUCAUCAAGUGCU